rnacentral:rRNA from 1 species
ACGGGAGGCAGCAGUGAGGAAUAUUGGGCAAUGGAUGGAAAUCUGAUCCAGCCAUGCCGCGUGAAGGAUAAGGUCCUAUGGAUUGUAAACUUCUUUUGUACGGGAGCAAUAAGGCGUAUGCAUACGCUGAUGAGAGUACCGUACGAAUAAGCAUCGGCUAACUCCGUGCCAGCAGCCGCGGUAAUACGGAGGAUGCGAGCGUUAUCCGGAUUUAUUGGGUUUAAAGGGUGCGUAGGCGGAAUGCCAAGUCAGCGGUGAAACGCAAGUGCUCAACACUUGACCUGCCGUUGAAACUGGUGAUCUAGAAUGCGGAUGCUGUGGGAGGAAUGUGUAGUGUAGCGGUGAAAUGCAUAGAUAUUACACAGAACACCGAUUGCGAAGGCAUCUCACAAAUCCGUAAUUGACGCUGAGGCACGAAAGUGUGGGGAUCAAACAGGAUUAGAUACCCUGGUA